AUUUUCACCCAUUCCCUCCAAAGCUCGUCAUCACUCACCUCUAAAGCACGAAGAAAACCCUUUCAAAGAAGAUCAAAAACUCUCACCAUCACGAAGAUCGAAAACCAUACGUAUCUAGGACGAAAUGCUUGACACUUAGUGAAUUUUUUCCCAUUUUCCCCCAAAGUACAUAACACCCAGUGAAUUUUUCCACCUCUUCUCCCUUUCCCCCGUGAUAUCAUCGUUUCGCACAAAGCUAAGAGUUCAUAGCUUUGCUACGCCAUCACAUGGCUCUUCUCCUUGCACCACAUCCUCACACGGCUUUGCUACGCCACGCCACGCCACCACCGUGGCUCUGUUACACCGCAUCGCCGCCGCAGCUCUAUUACUUUGCAACGACGUGGCAGCUCUCUUACGUUGCACCACCUCUUUGCCGUGCUCUUCUGCUUUGCUCCGCGUCUCCUUGGCUAAUCAUGCCGCCUCUGCUCCAUCUAUCCCUGCUCGAUUCGCUCUCAUCCACGAUUGGUAGGCUUUUAAUUUUUUUCCUGAUUUAGGCAAUUAGGGUUCCUAAUUCCCACUAGCCUGUGUUAAAUUUAAUUAGGGCUCCUAUAUCAAAAUUUCAUUUUUAAUUAGGAUUUUUCUAUGUCUGGUUCAAUUUCUGUCGUGCUGUCUGUGUUAGAAGCUUUUUCAUGUCACAUUUGAGCAUUGCUUGUUAUUAUUAGUGUUGAAUUCUAGUUUUGUUCUUUAUUCAAUUUGUGAUGAAUUGGGGGUUUUAGCUUUUUCGUGUCAUACCUACUGGAUAUGACCCUUGUUAAUAUGCUUUGUUGUAAGAUCAUAAAGCUAAGGGUGUUCGAAACUGAUUCUAAUGGAGACGAGAAUAUUAUCAGCUUUUAUUCAGAAUAAUUCCAGUUCCUGCUGUUGAUUGGAUUGGCGAAAUUAAUAUAAAAUCAACAGAGACAGGACUUGAGGCUGAUUUAUCUUACAAAUCAAUUCAUUAUUUUCUUGGAUUUGUGGAAAUUAGAAAGUGGUCAAAGGGAAGAUCCUUAAUUCAUCAACUUUGAAUGUUCUGUAUGAAGUUGAUGAUCAUUGGGAUAGGUAUUAUAUUGUCUUUAAAAUUUUUCACUUAUCGAUUCUUAAACAAUUAAUUUUAUUCUAUCUUAGAUUUAUGCUAAUUUCAUAACCAUUUUGAUGGGGCAGAACAAUAAAAAUGAAGGAUACAAAUAACAGAAAAGCGAGAGUGAUAUAUGAUGCAAAAGAAGUCAUUAAUGGGCUGCAAUCCCCAAUUGUUAAGGAUGCAGAGGAUAGUGCUUUUGGCAUCCAAGAAGCAGAAAACCUCUAGUGAAAAGUCAGAUACUAAGGGAAAGGCUGCAAGCAAAAAACAAACAGAGAAGCCGUCAAAAGCUUCAGUGAAGUAUCAAGGAUAAUUUUGAAGAUGUUGAUGAAGAUUAAGCUGUUUAUUAUUAUAGUUUAUUGGCAAAGAUGGUUCGUUGAUUAUUGACUUCUAUAUUAGAAGAUUUAUAUAUGUAGGAUAUAAUAUUUUGAUUUUUCAUAGUU